GCUGAAGCUGGACCAGGUGAAUCCAAUCAGUCAUCCAACAUGUCAGGCCUAAGUAAGGAAGUCUCUUCAUCUGGGCCUUUCAGCUCUUUGUAGUAACUCUCCACUUUAGAAUGUUCAGCUGAAACAUCU